CUCUGGCUGGAAUCCGGUGGAUACAGCAGUGUUACAGGUACAGUACGUGAUAUUAAGGGCAGGCGGUCAUCACUGGGGGAAGACAAGAAGCAGACGUACUUCCAAGAGGGAGCUGCAGUGAGGUCACAGCCUGGUCACUGAGGUCAGAGGAGGCGCUGAAAGGUUUCCCUAAUAGUUCCUGGUGAAUCAAAGAAGAACCAUAAAGGUUGCUGGACUGCAUCGUGGCCUUACCCCUGAGCAGUCAUCCUGUUAAAGGAGGAACCAGUCAGAAGCUGUUUUCAAAGUAGCUGAGCAGAUUUCAUCUCAACAGACAAAGCCGAUGGCAGAAGAUGUUUGGAGAAGAACUUCAGGCUGUCUACUGACAAGUAGAUCAAAGCAGCUCGUGCUCCUUCUGCUUCCAUUUUAAUGGCAAGAAGAAGAAGAACGCUUCAGCGAAGUGGCGUUCAUGGUGUCAGUGAACAGUCAUGGUCACACACUGCAUGUGGUUUUAAAAGCAACAUUGUUCACCACAACAAUGGAGAUGUGUAAUAUUAGUGCAGCUACAGUUUGUUCUUGAACAUCAGUUCUGUUUUCUACUUUGAUCACUUAGACCAAAAAAGUGUUGUUUUCAGAUUCUUUCUUUUAAAUCUGUAAAUCACCUGCUCAUUCUUUAUUACAAUUAGUUUCACAUAAAUGUUAGUGUUUCCUUUAUGGUCUUUUAAUGCUUACACUACACUGUACAUGUCUACAUUAGAGACAUUUCUGUUACCUGUUUCUGUUGACUCAGAAUUCAUAGUUUAACGAAAAAAACUUUACCACAGCUUAAUUUUGAGUACUUUACACGUCCAAUUCCUUAGUCUAAGGGGAAAUGGGCUGGUUUUUCUGUAGUGCUUUUCUUCUCUAACAUUCUACAUAAUUUACAUCAUUCACCCAUAAAGAAAUACAAGCACUUUUUUUAUGCUUUUCCUACUGGAAUGCUUUCUAUGCAACAUUCACACACAUUCAGACUGAGAUGGAUGCAUUGGAUGGAUGCUUCUGAGCUACAGCAGCCCCAGGUGGCUGUAUCAUAGUCAAAGCCUACUACCAAGAGAUCAAGAGUCAUCUUCAUGAAAGGAAACUCUUACCAGUUGCAAUCCGCUGCUAACACUCAAGAACUGGAAGACUGGAAUAGACUUUGCCAGAAAAACACAGAAAAAGCAGGAACAGUUCCAAGAUGAAAUUUUAUCAGCAUAAUUGGAAAAGAAAAUGAUGAAGAAGGAAAACUGAUCUGAAGAAUGUCACAUCAUCUGUCAAAGAUGUUGGAGCCAAUUUUACUCAUUGGAGUAGUUGGAAAGUCAUUGGACAGCACUUCACAGUGCAAAUAGAUAAUGACCUUUUUCAGUUUUAAAAAAAAUGAAAACAGCUUCUCAUGUUCAUGUUUGAUGAUAUAUUUACAGUAAAAUCUGCGAUUCACCGGUGUAUUGUUUUUAUUGUGAUCCUCGUUGAUCAGGAACAUUUCGAGAUUUUUGUCUUCAGAUUUUUAUGGCUUGAUAUAGAUUUAGUGUCUUUUUUCCA